GACGAACGCUGGCGGCGUGCCUAACACAUGCAAGUCGAGCGAAUGAAGUUCCUUCGGGAACGGAUUUAGCGGCGGACGGGUGAGUAACACAUGGGCAACCUGCCUCAUAGAGGGGAAUAGCCUUCCGAAAGGGAGAUUAAUACCGCAUAAGAUUGUAGUACCGCAUGGUACAGCAAUUAAAGGAGCAAUCCGCUAUGAGAUGGGCCCGCGGCGCAUUAGCUAGUUGGUGAGGUAACGGCUCACCAAGGCGACGAUGCGUAGCCGACCUGAGAGGGUGAUCGGCCACAUUGGGACUGAGACACGGCCCAGACUCCUACGGGAGGCAGCAGUGGGGAAUAUUGCACAAUGGGGGAAACCCUGAUGCAGCAACGCCGCGUGAGUGAUGACGGCCUUCGGGUUGUAAAGCUCUGUCUUCAGGGACGAUAAUGACGGUACCUGAGGAGGAAGCCACGGCUAACUACGUG
rnacentral:rRNA from 1 species